rnacentral:rRNA from 1 species
UGGGGAAUAUUGGGCAAUGGGCGCAAGCCAGACCCAGCAACGCCGCGUGAAGGAAGAAGGCUUUCGGGUUGUAAACUUCUUUUGUCAGGGACGAAGCAAGUGACGGUACCUGACGAAUAAGCCACGGCUAACUACGUGCC